UACAGAGGUCUCAAGCGUUGUUCGGAUUCAUUGGGCGUAAAGGGUGCGUAGGUGGCGCCGUAAGUCAGGUGUGAAAUUUCGGAGCUUAACUCCGAAACUGCAUUUGAUACUGCGGUGCUUGAGGACUGGAGAGGAGACUGGAAUUUACGGUGGUAGCAGUGAAAAUGCGUAGAGAUCGUAAGGAAGACCAGUGGCGAAGGCGGGUCUCUGGACAGUUCCUGACACUGAGGCACGGAAG
rnacentral:rRNA from 1 species